rnacentral:rRNA from 1 species
CAGUAGCCGCGGUAAUACGAAGGGUGCAAGCGUUACUCGGAAUUACUGGGCGUAAAGCGUGCGUAGGUGGUGGUUUAAGUCCGUUGUGAAAGCCCUGGGCUCAACCUGGGAACUGCAGUGGAUACUGGGUCACUAGAGUGUGGUAGAGGAUAGUGGAAUUUCCGGUGUAGCAGUGAAAUGCGUAGAGAUCGGAAGGAACAUCUGUGGCGAAGGCGACUAUCUGGGCCAACACUGACACUGAGGCACGAAAGCGUGGGGAGCAAACAGGAUUAGAUACCCCCGUAGUCCCUGUCUCUUAUAC